GCAUUUGUUAAAUAUAUAAUUGAAAAUGAAAUCAUUAAUGCAGAUAUUAUUAGCUUCUUUCAGAAAUUUUCUAAAGCUUUUUACUGUUAAGGAUGUGGAUAGUGGGAUCAAUCUUUCAUCUCUACUAUUUAUCCCUUUCAAAGUAUGCAAAAGAUAUCAAUGGAGUAGAAUGCCACAACUCAACAAAGAAUUUAGCAAUUUGAACCUAAAUGUUUUGAGUAUUAUCUGGAUUAUGCAAAUCCUUUGGCUCUCUGUUGUAUCUUCAUUUUUCCGCGGCUUUCGCCUUUGGUUGUAUUUCUUCUUCUCGUGUGUUAGCACUUUAGCUAAUGACAGGAAGGGAACUUUCUUUCUUUUAAUAAAGUUUUUUGAUGUUAGGUUGAUUAUCAUUUGGGAAAAUCUACUCAAAUUUUAAUGCUAGAGUAGAAUCAAGUUCAUUCAACGAUCCAGUAAGAGAUCGAUGUUAGUGGUAAUCCUAAUAAUAUAUUCAUAAGGGAAUUCCCCCCACCCCGUAAAUUACAGACGUUCUAAUUUCAAUAUUUAUAGUACUCCUGAUUUCUUCUUCUUUCUCCUAAACUCAUCAUUUUCAAAUUGGUGCUGUAUUUCCGUCAUUGUGUUUCAGAGUUUUUUUUAUUCUUUGACUUUACUUUAGCAGAUGAUGAGGUACUCGGAUUCCCCUUCAAGACAUCAUGGGUGAUGCAAAAACCGAGUUUCUGAUGCACUAUUUAUUUAUGAGAUGUUUGGAGUUUUUUAUCUUUACCUUUACGUUAUUUGGUGUUUGUUUCUGCUUCAAGAGGAUGAACAGUCUAUUCUUCAGUUUUCUAUUCUGCCGCCAAUUAAAUUGCUUCAGGCCAUCUGACCUCUCUGUUAUACCACUUUGCCCUUCGCAAUCCUCUUUCGGACUGUUUGGGAAUCACGGUAUUUUGGGUCCCUUUGCUUCUAAGGUAAGUUUCUCUUUCUUCUCCUUUCAUAAUUCCUGUACAAUGUUCUUCGUUUUCUAUCUCUUUUGAUUUACUCAUUCUUCAUUAGUAUGCAUGUAGUAUUAUAAUAAUUAAUUGAGUCUUGAUGCAUUCCCUACCCAAUGAAUGUAAUGCGCCUCUCGAUUUUCCAAGUUGUUUCACAUAUAGGAAUUUUUGGACUGUACGACACUAUGCUGGAAUCUCACUUGUAAGAGUACAAACUUUAAGAACAAAUGUUGGAGUAUUAACUAUGGCUAUUUUCCGAUUAGUUUACCGCGUUUAAAUUGUGACUAUUUUUCAAUGGCUUGGCAAUGCUGACUAUAGAUCAACAAACUGUCCAAAAGUGGCUAUUUCUUAGGAUUACCCCAUUUUCGUGAAGCUGUGAAGUUGAUGCAGAACAAUAAUAUUUAAAAGCCAACAUUUAAGUUAGCCAAGUACCUAUAUGCUACUGAGAAGAAAUUGUCACGUUUAAGUUGAUGCAGAUCAAUAACAUGGAAAUGAGAAUCUCUAUUAAUCCCAACUUUGUUCUACAUACAACCUUUGUACAAGUUAACUAGGUGGAUUUGGUAGAAAAAUCACAUUAAAGGUUACAAUGUGAAUAUUUCAAUGAAAUUGAAAUGAUGUCAAACAUGUUAGGACGACCCAAAUCUUGAGACCAUAAAAAUUGGAUUUUGAUGAUUUUGAGACAAUGAUUAGGUUCCACAGAGUCGAUGGCCUUUUUUCAAUAAAAUGUUGGCUUUAAUUCCUGAGUUUCUAAGUAGGGAAUACUAAGAAAAUUAGCUAACGUGUUCCUUUAAAGAAAAUUGCAGAUUCCUGAUUCUGUAUAAACAGGGAGGAGGCAGCAAGAUAAAGUCAUGAGGAAGAGAUGCAGGAGUCCAUUGGCAGUCAUGCUCUUAUAUGUUUUCCUUUUCACUUCCUUUAAAAGUACUUCCUCGGAGCCUAACGAACUAGCUUCUCUGUUUGAACGGUAGUAUUUCUUAAAUUUUCAGCAUUUUUACACAGAUAGUGUGUCUCCCCUACUCAUUCUCUUCCUUUUCUUUUCUUCGCACAUGGCUACUAAACCAUUUCAUAUUAUGCAUGACAAAAAUACUAUCAAGAGCUUCAGCCAAAUUAAUUCAACUAUGACAGUGGAUGUCAACCAUCUCCCAAUGGCUUUUCCUAAAGCAAGUCUGUUUUCUAUUAUUGACAUGACUCAUAGCCGAAUAGGUAUCGAAACAGAACAAAAGGAGCAAAAUCGACAGACUUAUGAAGUAUAGACUCCGCGUGUGGUCCAGUGGAGGUUUGUGUUGUGUUUUCUGAAUGUGAUAGCCAAGUUGAUAUCAUUUGCGCAUCUUCUUUUCGUUGACCGUCAUCUAUGAGUGAGGAUGUUGGGAUUGGGAAUGUCGGACUUCACAAGAAGAGGUGACCGAUUUGCUCAGCAGUUCCUUCCUUCCUAGGAAUGGCUAUGAGCAGUCAAGCAGAAUGUUCAACUUUAUAAAUCCCUAAAAGGAGGAAUAAUUUUCAUGAUGUUGCAGAAACAUGUACAAUUGUUUCAUUUCUUUGGCGUUCAAUACAGACAUUGUUGAGCAAACUGUGCAGUAGAAGAUAUUAAUUAGAUGGAGAGGAACUGGGGUAAAAUUGGGUUGCUGAAGCCUGCGGAAAUAUCAGGAUCAAAUGUUGACUAUCAAGAAAUAAGCACCGCUUCUGUGACGCAGGAGGGCUCGGGCUAUUGCUUAACAUCAAUGUUUCUCAUGUACUAUAAUAUUGGAAAAUCUCUAUUUGCUGGAACUUUUGAUUUUACCAAAAUAUAGGAAUUUGCUUUGUGUAAAAGUUUAAUAUUGAUAUGGAUUCUCUGA